GCGCGGUUAGCUCAGUGGUAGAGCACCACACUGACACUGUGGGGGUCAGAGGUUCGAAACCUCUACCGCGCACCA
rnacentral:tRNA from 1 species